AAAGUGUGGUGACGUAGCUCUGCACGAGGAGCGUAAACAUCUGCACGUGGGACACGCAGUGGACGUGGUGACGCAGAAAUUAACCCCAAAAGAUCUUAACAGCAAAACAUCAACCUCAAAACAGAUGCAACACUGUCGCUGGUUGUUCAUCCCAGAAAGUACAACUGGAAGGCGCUUCUCAUCUGGAUAUCAGGCUUCACGCUCAGAUGUGGACCCAGAUGCAGACACGGCUCGUUUCCAAGUAACAAUGGUUUAUUAUGGAGAAGAGUAGUCGAGAAGGCAGGGUCGAUACCAGGCUGGCAGCAGAGGGACAGGCAAGCGGCAGGCAAGAGAGGAGUCAAGGGCAGGCAGGAGGUCGGUACACAGGCUGGCGGUGAAGGUACAGGUAGGUACUAGGCAGAGUAGUCGUUGACAGGCAGGAGAUCAGUACACAGGCUGGCGAUGAAGGUACAGGUAUGGAGCAGGCAGAGAGAUCAUAUUCAUUUUUCAACAACAAAAUACUAAUGUUUAACUUAGUAAGAGUUCAGAAAUCUAUAUUUUGUGAAAUAACCCAGAUUUUUUAUCACAGCUUUCAUGAGUUUUGGCAUGCUCUCCCCCAGUCUGUCACAUUGCUGUUGGGUAACUUUAUGCCACUCCUGGCACAAAAAUUCAAGUUGCUCGGCUUUGUUUGAUGACU